UACAGAGGUCCCAAGCGUUGUUCGGAUUCAUUGGGCGUAAAGGGUGCGUAGGCGGCGCGGUAAGUCGGGUGUGAAAUCUCGGGGCUUAACUCCGAAACUGCAUUCGAUACUGCCGUGCUUGAGGACUGGAGAGGAGACUGGAAUUUACGGUGUAGCGGUGAAAUGCGUAGAUAUUCGGAAGAACACCGGUGGCGAAGGCGACCUUCUGGGCCGCAACUGACGCUGAGGCACGAAAGCCUGGGGAGCGAACGGG
rnacentral:rRNA from 1 species